GCACUGUGGGAUGGAAACCGGAGCGGCGCGUCCUGGCGGGACCGGGCGGCGGCGGCGGGGCCGGCGGCGGCCAGGGACCCGGGCUUAGGCUCGGCCGGGCCGGCUGAGGGGCGCGGGCGGCCAGCGGGCGGCGGACGCCGUCAUGAACGCGGCGGUGGUGAGGCGGACGCAGGAGGCGCUGGGGAAAGUGAUUCGGAGGCCGCCGCUGACAGAGAAGCUGCUGAGCAAGCCCCCGUUCCGCUACCUGCACGACAUCAUCACGGAGGUGAUUAGAAUGACUGGUUUCAUGAAGGGCCUCUACACAGACGCCGAGAUGAAGUCUGAUAAUGUGAAGGAUAAAGAUGCAAAAAUUAGCUUCCUACAAAAGGCCAUAGACGUGGUUGUAAUGGUGUCGGGAGAGCCACUGUUGGCCAAACCAGCCCGAAUCGUGGCGGGGCAUGAGCCUGAAAGAACAAAUGAGCUGCUCCAGAUAAUUGGAAAAUGCUGUCUCAACAAGCUCUCUAGUGACGAUGCGGUGCGGAGGGUUUUAGCUGGAGAGAAAGGAGAAGUGAAAGGCCGGGCCUCACUGACCUCAAGAUCUCAGGAAUUGGAUAAUAAGAAUGUGCGAGAAGAAGAGUCCAGAGUUCACAAAAAUACAGAGGAUAGAGGAGACGCUGAAAUAAAAGAGAGAAGUACAAGCAGAGAUCGAAAACAGAAGGAAGAAUUGAAAGAAGACCGCAAGCCAAGAGAAAAGGACAAGGACAAGGAGAAGGCCAAGGAGAAUGGCGGAAACAGACACAGAGAAGGGGAGAGAGAGAGAGCCAAAGCCCGGGCCAGGCCAGACAGCGAGCGACAGAAAGACAGAGGCAACAGGGAGCGGGACAGAGACUCCGAGCGCGAGAAGGAGACAGAGAGAAAGAGUGAGGGGGGGAAAGAGAAGGAGAGACUGAGAGACAGGGACCGAGAGCGCGACCGGGACAAAGGGAAGGACAGGGACAGACGGAGAGUGAAAAACGGGGAGCACUCCCGGGACCCGGACAGGGAGAAGAACAGAGAGCAUGACAAACCCGAGAAAAAGUCAGCAAGCUCAGGGGAGAUGUCUAAAAAGUUGUCAGAUGGAACUUUUAAAGACUCCAAGGCUGAAACAGAGACUGAGAUUUCCACUAGAGCUUCCAAGUCAUUGACAACAAAAACAUCAAAACGGCGAUCCAAAAAUUCAGUGGAAGGAAGGAAGGAGGAUAAUAUUUCAGCUAAAAGUUUAGACUCCAUAGUGUCUGGAAUAAAUAAUGAGCCAAAUCAGGAAACGACAACUUCAGAAAUAGGAACAAAAGAAGCUAAUAUUAACUCAACUAGUAUUUCAGAUGAUAAUUCAGCUAGUCUGCGGUGUGAGAAUAUUCAGCCCAACCCUACAGAGAAGCAGAAAGGUGACUCCACCAGUGAUGCAGAAGGAGAUGCUGGACCUGCUGGCCAAGAUAAGUCUGAGGUGCCAGAGACUCCAGAAAUUCCUAAUGAGCUUUCAUCCAACAUCAGAAGAAUUCCUCGGCCUGGGAGUGCAAGACCAGCCCCUCCCCGGGUCAAACGGCAAGACAGCACGGAGGCGCUACCAAUGGAUAGGUCAGGGAUUGGUAAAACCGUUUCAAAUGUGAUUACAGAGUCCCACAAUUCUGACAAUGAAGAGGAUGAUCAAUUUGUGGUGGAAGCUGCCCCUCAGCUCUCUGAAAUGUCAGAAAUUGAAAUGGUAACAGCAGUGGAACUAGAAGAAGAGGAGAAGCAUGGUGGACUUGUGAAAAAAAUUUUGGAGACGAAGAAAGAUUAUGAGAAAUUGCAGCAGUCACCCAAACCUGGGGAGAAGGAGCGAUCUCUCUUUGAGUCGGCAUGGAAGAAGGAGAAGGACAUCGUUUCCAAGGAGAUAGAGAAGCUCCGCACGUCCAUCCAGACCCUGUGCAAGAGCGCACUUCCCCUGGGGAAGAUCAUGGACUACAUCCAGGAAGACGUGGAUGCCAUGCAGAAUGAGCUGCAGCUGUGGCACAGCGAGAACAGGCAGCACGCCGAGGCCCUGCAGCAGGAGCAGAGUAUCACAGACUGUGCCGUGGAGCCCUUAAAGGCUGAGCUCGCGGAGCUGGAGCAGCUGAUCAAAGACCAGCAAGACAAGAUCUGUGCUGUGAAGGCCAACAUCCUCAAGAAUGAAGAAAAAAUCCAGAAAAUGAUGGAAUACUGGCUAGUUAUAAAUAGCGCUUCCAAACACCUCUGUGAAAAGUUUUUUUGAAAGCCUGUUCUUUGUGUUUCUGCUGUAACCUGUUUAGUUCUGUACCAGAACUCUCUAGCAGGAAGGGCUCCUGAAAGUCGUAAUGCAGCCCCGAGCCUUGGCCGGUCGCUUGGACUCGCAGCCGUCCCCCGUGUGGCUUGGACCCACCGCGAAGCUGACCUCAUUCUACUCUCCGGCCCAGCAUGCGCCCAGGGAGAGGAGCAAGCUCUGAUUCUUCUGGUGGGUUUUCCAUUUCCAGGGAUUAUGGCUCUAAAGAAAAGCGUCUUUGGGACAGUUUCAAUACAAACACCAGGAUGCUUUUAAAAAUAGAACUUUCAAAUAAUAUCUCUUAAACCAUGGAUUUUAAGCAUUAAUCUCGUUCGAUAGUUGCAAAAUCAAAACCUUCCGUCAGCACGUCGACCUGGAUCUUGCAGCCCGCGGCGCUGUGCAGGGAAGCUCUCCUCUCAGACGCCCCUUGAGCUGCGGUUGCUUCUCAGCCCCUGUUCAGAGCAUAGUCACAUGGGCGAGGCUUGUGAGCUUGUGAGCCAGGCCUUUAUUCCUCCACGAGGGCUCUCUCCCAUUGCCUGUAAAACUGCACACCCGUUUAUCUCUAUAUUUUCCCUAUUUUUACACCUGCCAAAACAUCCAUUUGUGGUGGUAAAAUACUUGGACUCCCGAGCAGUGAAAUGAAAAAGGUUGCGAUUUAUAUAAAGAGCAGAGUGGCCUCUGGGGUGAGUUGGGCUGAGUUAAGGUCCCUGUAACCUCCAAGAUGAGCCUGGCAGGACGCAGCUAGUGGGGCACGUCCAUGGCUGCAUGGUGGCCUCCAGGCCAUGCUUACCCACUCUCCUCUCCAACCCCCAAAGCCUUCUGCUACUGGCUGGCAUGGUGAGUGCCUGGGCACCAGGAACAGGGCACAAGGGGCACUCGUGGGCUGGGGCUGGCUGUACAGUGAGAGUUAGACAUUCAGGAAUGUUACGAGCCAUUACAUUAAAAUACAAAGGUAAGGAAUAUGGAAAACUAAUUUUUUACAUUUUCCUUGUGUCCAUGCCCUGAGGUGAUUUAUAUCUUGGACCUCAGGGGGAAAUCCUGGGGUGUAUGUGCGAUUGUGCAUCUCUUCUAACUCCAAGUUGGGUGAAUUCACAUUCGCUGAAGGCGAGAGUAUUUACACCACGGAAAUUGACAGAUGCUACAAGUCAGGACUUGACUUGUUUUGUUGUUUAUCUAAUUUUAAGAAAGUGAUAGCGUGAAAGUGAGUGGAAGGAAUGCUCGGUAAACAUGAAGUAAAUGUCACAGCCAGCCGGGUGCAGUGGCUCACACCUGUAAUCCCAGCACUUUGGGAAGCCAAGGCGGGCAGAUCACCUGAGGUCAGGAGUUCAAGACCAGCCUGGCUAACAUGGUGAAACCCCGUCUCUACU